rnacentral:rRNA from 1 species
GACAGAGGCCUCGAGCGUUAGGCGGAAUCACUGGGCUUAAAGCGUGUGUAGGCGGAUCGUUAAGUACCUUGUGAAAUCCCACGGCUCAACCGUGGAACGGCUGGGUAUACUGGCGGUCUUGGGCCAUUCAGGGGCGACUGGAACAAGCGGUGGAGCGGUGAAAUGCGUAGAUAUCGCUUGGAACGCCGAAGGUGAAGACAGGUCGCUGGGGAUGUGCCGACGCUGAGACACGAAAGCCAGGGGAGCAAACGGG